UAGGGAAUCUUCGGCAAUGGGGGCAACCCUGACCGAGCAACGCCGCGUGAGUGAAGAAGGUUUUCGGAUCGUAAAGCUCUGUUGUAAGAGAAGAACGUGUGUGAGAGUGGAAAGUUCACACAGUGACGGUAACUUACCAGAAAGGGACGGCUAACUACGUGCCACCAGCAGCGGUAAUACGUAGGUCACGAGCGUUGUCCGGAUUUAUUGGGCGUAAAGCGAGCGCAGGCGGUUUAAUAAGUCUGAAGUUAAAGGCAGUGGCUUAACCAUUGUUCGCUUUGGAAACUGUUAUACUUGAGUGCAGAAGGGGAGAGUUGGAUUCCAUGUGUAGCGGUGAAAUGCGUAGAUAUAUGGAGGAACACCGGUGGCGAAAGCGGCUCUCUGGACUGUAACUGACGCUGAGGCGCGAAAGCGUGGGGAGCAAACAGG
rnacentral:rRNA from 1 species